AGGUUAACCGUAUAGGGGAGCCGUAGGGAAACCGAGUCUUAACUGGGCGAAUGAGUUGCAGGGUAUAGACCCGAAACCCGGUGAUCUAUCCAUGGGCAGGUUGAAGGUUGGGUAACACUAACUGGAGGACCGAACCGACUAAUGUUGAAAAAUUAGCGGAUGACUUGUGGAUGGGGGUGAAAGGCCAAUCAAACCGGGAGAUAGCUGGUUCUCCCCGAAAGCUAUUUAGGUAGCGCCUCGUGAAUUCAUCUUCGGGGGUAGAGCACUGUUUCGACUAGGGGGUCAUCCCGACUUACCAACUCGAUGCAAACUGCGAAUACCGAAGAAUGUUAUCACGGGAGACACACGGCGGGUGCUAACGUCCGUCGUGAAGAGGGAAACAACCCAGACCGCCAGCUAAGGUCCCAAAGUCAUGGUUAAGUGGGAAACGAAGUGGGAAGGCUCAGACAGCCAGGAUGUUGGCUUAGAAGCAGCCAUCAUUUAAAGAAAGCGUAAUAGCUCACUGGUCGAGUCGGCCCGCGCGGAAGAUGUAACGGGGCUAAACCAUGCACCGAAGCUGCGGCAGCGACACAAAGUGUUGUUGGGUAGGGGAGCGUUCUGUAAGCCUGCGAAGGUGUACUGUGAGGUAUGCUGGAGGUAUCAGAAGUGCGAAUGCUGACAUAAGUAACGAUAAUGCGGGUGAAAAACCCGCACGCCGGAAGACCAAGGGUUCCUGUCCAACGUUAAUCGGGGCAGGGUGAGUCGACCCCUAAGGCGAGGCUGAAAAGCGUAGUCGAUGGGAAACGGGUUAAUAUUCCCGUACUGGUGGUAACUGCGAUGGGGGAACGGAGAAGGCUAGGUUGUCCGGGCGACGGUCGUCCCGGUUCAAGCAGGUAGGCAGAGUGAUUAGGCAAAUCCGGUCACUUAAUGCUGAGAUGUGAUGACGAACCAC
rnacentral:rRNA from 1 species